rnacentral:pre_miRNA from 4 species
UCUUAUGGAUGAGCAAAGAAAGUGAUUUCUUGAGAUGGAGUCUACUCCUGGUGAAUAUGCUGUGAA